AUAUCAUGAUACUACCAAAAUUAACAUCAUAGAUUAAUCGCAUGAUUUACAUCAUAGAUUAAUUGUUAGUUCGUCCCUCAUAUUUCUUAGUCUACCCUUGAUUUACAUCAUAGAUUAAUUCGUAUCUCAUCAUAGAUCCCAGUAGACAUUAUAAAUAUCAAACAACAACACUAAAAACCAUUUAAUUAAAAACCAAUUUCUAAAAAAAAGGGGGAACCGCCCAAAUUUUUCGAACCACCGAGGCUCAAACGCCCAGGUGUUUGAAAUUUCUAGGCGUUUCAUCUCAACCGCCCAGAAAUUUCGAACAACCAUACAUUCGUUCGAACAAACUUGGCGUUUGAGCCUAGAUUGGUCGAAAUUUUUGGGCGUUUGAACCCGAUUUCAGAAUAUAAAAAAAAAAUAAAAAAAAAAUAAAAAAACUUGUCUCCGGCGACCGCCAUUCCCUUGUUCUUUCUCGUUAUUUCCACGGCUAACGGUGUAGAUUGAGAAAUUGGAGGUAGAAGGAGGUGGUGGUGGGUGGUUAAAAGAGGAGGUGGUAGUGAUAAAAGCUUGAAUUUCAAGGUGGUUAAAAGUUGUGGGUGAUAAAAGGACGUGGUAGUGGUGGUGGUGGUGGUGGUGGUGUGGAGAGUGAAUUGUUUUUAGUAGAGAGAAAAGGGAGUGAGGGUUUGGGGGUUAAAUUGUGGGGGGUAAAUUCCUUUUUUCUAUAUAAGGGUAAAUUUGUAAAAAUAUUUUACGUUGUGGGCGUUAGAUAUAGAUUCGAGGGCGAUAUUUAACAACCCCAUUAUUAUACACCAUAUACACGUCACGUGUUAGGCCAAAAAAAGCCAAACAGAGAUUCAUCAUUCAUGAGCGUUAGAUUUCUCGAACACACACUUUGAUCAUCAAACAUUCAAACCUAAUUUUUAGAUGAACGAAAGCGACGACUCUAAUUUCAGAGAGAUUACGAGGAUGUAGUUUUGGUUGCUGUCAUCUAAGGAUUUCAUGUUGUGCAUAGAUUUAUUGAAUACAAAGGAUGUAGUUUUGGUUGCUGUCAUCUAAGGAUUUCAUGUUGGGCAUAGAUUUAUUGAAUACAAAGGAAAGUAGGAUUGGAAACUUGAGGAUACUGCUAAGAGCUUUCCAUGCUCCAUCUCCAAGCUUUUCAAAAGGCAAGGGGAGGAUCUAUAAAAGACUCCAGCUGCCAAGAUUGCCCGGAUAUUCUGCCAUUAAAAUUCUGAGUGAAAGCUCAGAACGCUUGCAGAAGAAUGCGCCGGAUGCCUCUACGGCAUCAAAUAGACGGAAGUGAAUGAAUGCCAACUAUGUUGCAUCCUUCUCACCAAGUACUUCUUUUGGUGCAGAUCUUACAUCUGACGAGCCGGAUCUUGUUUGGUUUGCCAAACGGAUGGUGAGGACCCUCACCUGGUUAGAGAAAAGUUCCAUACCUGACUUUGACCGGAUAAUGGGCCACCACAAGAUUGGAUGACUUUGUAAGACAAGAAUUUUAGGAUGACUUUGAUGAAGUGGUGCAACAGGUUUAAGGAGUGAGAAGUUGGUCAUUGGGGGAAAUUUCAAUGGACAUGUGAUCUCUCACCUAUUGACUUAUGGUCCUAAGGAAUGCUCGAAGGAAGAGUUACGUUGAUUGUAAGGUGAUCCCUAGUACAACAACUCAACAUAGACUUGUGGUGCUUGAUUUUUGAGGUCGUAGAUAUGUAGGGACGUGAAGACCUCAAUCUCCAUGUGAAUGUAUUGUGAUUAAAUAAUUUAAAACAUUCUUCUUAAGGACUUUAAUUUUCCAACUAUUAUUAAAUAGUCUAUGAUGUGGAUAGUGUUUAUCAAGUCUUUUGUUUAAUGGCCUCAUUGAUAUAGUAAUCCCUUUAUCAACAAAUAAUAGUUCUAUUUCACCCAAAA